rnacentral:rRNA from 1 species
CUCCGUGACCCUCCCGGCCUCCCGCCCCCGGGCGGGUCGGCGCCCGCCGGAGGAUAACCAAACUCUGAUUUAACGACGUUUCUUCUGAGUGGUACAAGCAAAUAAUCAAAACUUUUAACAACGGAUCUCUUGGUUCUGGCAUCGAUGAAGAACGCAGCGAAAUGCGAUAAGUAAUGUGAAUUGCAGAAUUCAGUGAAUCAUCGAAUCUUUGAACGCACAUUGCGCCCGCCAGCAUUCUGGCGGGCAUGCCUGUUCGAGCGUCAUUUCAACCCUCAAGCUCUGCUUGGUGUUGGGGCCCUACAGCUGAUGUAGGCCCUCAAAGGUAGUGGCGGACCCUCCCGGAGCCUCCUUUGCGUAAUAACUUUACGUCUCGCACUGGGAUCCGGAGGGACUCUUGCCGUAAAACCCCCAAUUUUCCAAAGGUUGACCUCGGAUCAGGUAGGAAUACCCGCUGAACUUAAGCAUAUCAAUAAGCGGAGGAAAAGAAACCAACAGGGAUUGCCUCAGUAACGGCGAGUGAAGCGGCAACAGCUCAAAUUUGAAAUCUGGCCCUAGGCCCGAGUUGUAAUUUGCAGAGGAUGCUUUUGGUGCGGNGCCUUCCAAGUUCCCUAGAACGGGACGCCAGAGAGGGUGAGAGCCCUGUACAGNUGGACACCAAGCCUUUUGUAAAGCUCCUUCGACNAGNCNAGNAGUUUGGGAAUGCUGUUCAAAAUGNGGAGGUAUAUUUCUUCUAAAGCUUUAUACCUGGCCANAGACCGAUAGCGCACAAGUAAGUGAUCUAAAAGA